UUUGCUGUGAAUGAGGUUUUGUUGACUGAUCAAGGACGGGCGGGCAGCAAAGUAUUGAUCAACUUCAACAGGUUAGAAGGAUGAAAGUCAAAAGCAAUUUCAUAUUGAUCCAGCCUACAUACGUGAGAGUUCUUUCCUAAUUUCUUUCGUAAUGAUUCAGGAGAUCUCUCUUUCGAGUCGGUUCCAACAUAAGCACACUGUUCAAUAUUAUGGCACAUUCAAGGGAUAUCUGGUGGAUGUAAAUGGAACCGUGAAACUUGUGGAUUUUGGAUUGGC